ACGUACACUCCUACGGGAGGCAGCAGUGGGGAAUUUUGGACAAUGGGCGAAAGCCUGAUCCAGCCAUGCCGCGUGCAGGAUGAAGGCCUUCGGGUUGUAAACUGCUUUUGUACGGAACGAAACGGCCUUUUCUAAUAAAGAGGGCUAAUGACGGUACCGUAAGAAUAAGCACCGGCUAACUACGUGCCAGCAGCCGCGGUAAUACGUAGGGUGCAAGCGUUAAUCGGAAUUACUGGGCGUAAAGCGUGCGCAGGCGGUUAUGUAAGACAGUUGCGAAAUCCCCGGGCUCAACCUGGGAACUGCAUCUGUGACUGCAUAGCUAGAGUACGGUAGAGGGGGAUGGAAUUCCGCGUGUAGCAGUGAAAUGCGUAGAUAUGCGGAGGAACACCGAUGGCGAAGGCAAUCCCCUGGACCUGUACUGACGCUCAUGCACGAAAGCGUGGGGAGCAAACAGGAUUAGAUACCCCUGUAGUCC
rnacentral:rRNA from 1 species